GACGAACGCUGGCGGCGUGCUUAACACAUGCAAGUCGAACGGAAAGGCCCUGCGUUUGUGGGGUGCUCGAUUGGCGAACGGGGGAGUAACACGCGAGUAUCCUCUCCUUGUCUUUGGGAGAACUUUAGGAAACUGGGGCUAAUACCGGGGAGGAGAUCCUGCUGCAUGGGGGGGGUUGGAAAGUGUCGGCGGUUGGGGCUGGAUUCGCGGCUUAUCAGCUUGUUGGUGGGGUAGGGGCUUACCAAGGCUUUGACGGGUAGCCGGCCUGAGAGCGUGACCGGCCACCUUGGGACUGAGAGACGGCGCAGACUCCUACGGGAGGCAGCAGUGGAGAAUAUUGCGCAGUGGGCGGAAGCCUGAUGCAGCAACGCCGCGUGCGGGAUGACGGCCUUCGGGUUGUAAACCGCUUUCGCCUGUGACGAAGCGUGAGUGACGGUAAUGGGUAAAGAAGCACCGGCUAACUACGUG
rnacentral:rRNA from 1 species